rnacentral:rRNA from 1 species
GAUGAACGCUGGCGGCGUGCCUAAUACAUGCAAGUCGAGCGAACAGACGAGGAGCUUGCUCCUCUGACGUUAGCGGCGGACGGGUGAGUAACACGUGGAUAACCUACCUAUAAUACUGGGAUAACUUCGGGAAACCGGAGCUAAUACCGGAUAAUAUAUUGAACCGCAUGGUUCAAUAGUGAAUGACGGUUUUGCUGUCACUUAUAGAUGGAUCCGCGCCGCAUUAGCUAGUUGGUAAGGUAACGGCUUACCAAGGCAACGAUGCGUAGCCGACCUGAGAGGGUGAGCGGCCACACUGGAACGGAGACACGGUCCAGACUACUAAGGGAGGCAGCAGUAGGGAAUAUUCCGCAAUGGGCGAAAGCAUGACGGAGCAACGCCGCGUGAGUGAUGAAGGUCUUCGGAUCGUAAAACUCUGUUAUUAGGGAAGAACAAAUGUGUAAGUAAAUAUGCACGUAUUGACGGUACCGAAUCAGAAAGCAACGGCUAACUACGUG